AGAGUUUGAUCCUGGCUCAGAUUGAACGCUGGCGGCAUGCUUUACACAUGCAAGUCGGACGGCAGCACAGAGAAGCUUGCUUCUUGGGUGGCGAGUGGCGAACGGGUGAGUAACAUAUCGGAACGUACCGAGUAAUGGGGGAUAACUAAUCGAAAGAUUAGCUAAUACCGCAUAUUCUCUGAGGAGGAAAGCAGGGGACCUUCGGGCCUUGCGUUAUUCGAGCGGCCGAUAUCUGAUUAGCUAGUUGGUGGGGUAAAGGCCUACCAAGGCGACGAUCAGUAGCGGGUCUGAGAGGAUGAUCCGCCACACUGGGACUGAGACACGGCCCAGACUCCUACGGGAGGCAGCAGUGGGGAAUUUUGGACAAUGGGCGCAAGCCUGAUCCAGCCAUGCCGCGUGUCUGAAGAAGGCCUUCGGGUUGUAAAGGACUUUUGUCAGGGAAGAAAAGGCUGUUGCUAAUACCGACAGUUGAUGACGGUACCUGAAGAAUAAGCACCGGCUAACUACGUGCCAGCAGCCGCGGUAAUACGUAGGGUGCGAGCGUUAAUCGGAAUUACUGGGCGUAAAGCGAGCGCAGACGGUUACUUAAGCAGGAUGUGAAAUCCCCGGGCUCAACCUGGGAACUACGUUCUGAACUGGGUGACUAGAGUGUGUCAGAGGGAGGUAGAAUUCCACGUGUAGCAGUGAAAUGCGUAGAGAUGUGGAGGAAUACCGAUGGCGAAGGCAGCCUCCUGGGAUAACACUGACGUUCAUGCUCGAAAGCGUGGGUAGCAAACAGGAUUAGAUACCCUGGUAGUCCACGCCCUAAACGAUGUCAAUUAGCUGUUGGGCAACUUGAUUGCUUAGUAGCGUAGCUAACGCGU
rnacentral:rRNA from 1 species